UACGUAGGGUGCAAGCGUUGUCCGGAAUUAUUGGGCGUAAAGAGCUCGUAGGCGGUCUGUCGCGUCUGCUGUGAAAACUCAGGGCUUAACCCCGGACUUGCAGUGGGUACGGGCAGACUAGAGUGUGGUAGGGGAGACUGGAAUUCCUGGUGUAGCGGUGGAAUGCGCAGAUAUCAGGAGGAACACCGAUGGCGAAGGCAGGUCUCUGGGCCACUACUGACGCUGAGAAGCGAAAGCAUGGGGAGCGAACAGG
rnacentral:rRNA from 1 species